rnacentral:rRNA from 1 species
UACGUAGGUGGCAAGCGAUACUCGGAAUCACUAGGCGUAAAGCGCAGGUAGGCGGUUUGGUAAGUCUCUUGUGAAAGCCCACGGCUCAACCGUGGAGGGUCAUUGGAAACUGGGGAACUUGAGUGCAGAAGAGAAAAGCGGAAUUCCACGUGUAGCGGUGAAAUGCGUAGAGAUGUGGAGGAACACCAGUGGCGAAGGCGGCUUUUUGGUCUGUAACUGACGCUGAGGCGCGAAAGCGUGGGGAGCAAACAGG